AACGCGAAGAACCUUACCUGGGCUCGAACGGCUUAAGACAAUCUUUGGAAACAGAGACUUCUCGCAAGAGACUUGAGUCGAGGUGCUGCAUGGCUGUCGUCAGCUCGUGUCGUGAGAUGUUGGGUUAAGUCCCGCAACGAGCGCAACCCUUGUCCUGUGUUGCCACUCCCGCAAGGGAAGCACUCUCAGGAGACCGCCAGCGAUAAGCUGGAGGAAGGUGGGGAUGAUGUCAAGUCAUCAUGGCCUUUAUGUCCAGGGCUACACACGUGCUACAAUGGGCGGUACAAAGCGCUGCAAACCCGCGAGGGGGAGCUAAUCGCAAAAAACCGUUCUCAGUUCGGAUCGCAGGCUGCAACUCGCCUGCGUGAAGCUGGAAUCGCUAGUAAUGGUGUAUCAGAAUGAUACCGUGAAUACGUUCCCGGGCCUUGUA
rnacentral:rRNA from 1 species